rnacentral:rRNA from 1 species
CUACGGGAUGCUCCAGUUAGGAAUAUUCUACAAUGCGCGCAAGCGUGAUAGAUUGAGCCAGAGUGUUUUUCAAAUGAAAAGCUUUUGUGAAAUGUAAAAAGUUUCACGAAUAAGGACUGGGUAAGACUAGUGCCAGCCGCCGCGGUAAUACUAGCGGUCCAAGUCGCAGCCAUUUUUAUUGGGUCUAAAACAUCCGUAGCUUGCUUAAUAAGUUCCUUGUGAAAUUUUAUCUUUCAAAGAUAGAGCGUGCAAGAAAUACUGUUAAGCUAGAGACUGGAAGACGUAACGAGUACGUUCGGAGUAGCGGUAAAAUGUGUUAAUCCUGGACGGACUAACAAUAGCGAAGGCACGUUACGAGGACAGUUCUGACAGUAAGGGAUGAAGGCUAGGGGCGCAAAACGGAUUAGAUACCCCGGUAGUC